rnacentral:rRNA from 1 species
UAAGGGUUCCUGGGUCAAGCUGAUCUGCCCAGGGUAAGUCGGGACCUAAGGCGAGGCCGACAGGSGUAGUCGAUGGACAACCGGUUGAUAUUCCGGUACCCGCUUUGAAACGCCCAAUAUCGAAUCCAUUAAUGCUAAGGCCGUGAAGCCGCCCCGAUCUCUUCGGAUUUGAGGGGAUUGGUGAACCCGCUGACCCAAGGUGGUAGUAGGUAAGCGAUGGGGUGACGCAGGAAGGUAGUCCAGCCCGGGCGGUGGUAGUCCCGGGGUAAGGGUGUAGGGCGUUGUCCAGGUAAAUCCGGGCAGCAUGAAGCCUGAGACCUGAUGCCGAGCCGAUUGUGGUGAAGUGGAUGAUCCUAUGCUGUCGAGAAAAGCCUCUAGCGAGUUUCAUGGCGGCCCGUACCCUAAACCGACUCAGGUGGUCAGGUAGAGAAUACCGAGGCGUUCGGGUGAACUAUGGUUAAGGAACUCGGCAAAAUGCCCCCGUAACUUCGGGAGAAGGGGGGCCAUUUCUGGUGAUCGGAUUUACUCUGUGAGCUGGGGGUGGCCGCAGAGACCAGCGAGAAGCGACUGUUUACUAAAAACACAGGUCCUUGCGAAGCCGUAAGGCGAUGUAUACGGACUGACGCCUGCCCGGUGCUGGAACGUUAAGGGGACCGGUUAGC